AUUGAACGCUGGCGGCAGGCCUAACACAUGCAAGUCGAACGAGUGGCGGACGGGUGAGUAAUGUCUGGGAAACUGCCUGAUGGAUGGGGAUAACUACUGGAAACGGUAGCUACUACCGCACACCAUCAGAUGUGUCGAGAUGGGAUUAGCUUGUUGGUGGGGUAACGGCUCACCAAGGCGACGAUCCCUACCUGGUCUGAGAGGAUGACCAGCCACACUGGAACGGAGACACGGUCCAGACUCCUACGGGAGGCAGCAGUGGGGAAUAUUGCACAAUGGGCGCAAGCCUGAUACAGCCAUGCCGCGUGUAUGAAGAAGGCCUUCGGGUUGUAAAGUACUUUCAGCGGGGAGGCGUUACCAGCAGAAGAAGCACCGGCUAACUCCGUGCCAGCCGCCGCGGUAAUUC
rnacentral:rRNA from 1 species